UCAGUUUGUACCUGUGACUGACUCCUCCUCACAGCGUGUGAUUGGCUGCAGCGCGCACUUCCAGUCAAGUCAUUGGAUUGACCACCUCAGCAUUCGACCUUCUCGCUACGUGUCUCGCCUUGCCCUUCGGAUUUGUCAGCUUCCAAUUUCACAAUAAACCCGUAAUCUCCCGCAUUCUGGAUCCCAUCUCUGGUGUACUGCCCAAGUCUGACAGAAUACUUUGCCACGUCACAAUGGGCCCAGCGGAGAGCCUGUCCUCACUGCAAAGACGGGUCAAGCCAGCUGACUGUGCUUGUCUCCCAGCUACUAGAAGGACAAGCCCUCUGAAGCAAUCUACCCACCUCGCCUCCGCAAGCCUUGACCUCUCUCCCAGUGCCAGUAGCCUUGCCCGAGAAAUAUGACAAUCCUGAUCGCUGCUGUUCUUUUCUCAUGCAGUGUGGGCUGUAUAUAGACAAGCACCCCGAGAAGUUCCGCUCGGCGUCCUCCUGAGUGCGGUUUGUCAUCUCACUGCUGAAGGAAAGAGCACGAGAGUGGGUGACAGCCCUAUGGACCUACAACAGCCUCCUCCUGACAUGUGACUAGGAUUUUCUGGAGGCAUUCAAGGAGGUGUUCAAUCAUCCCGCAGUCGGCUGAAGCCUAGGAGAGUGCGUUUGCGACCUGUGGCAGGGGAACAAGUCCGCUGCUGAGUUCUUCCUGGAGUUCCGGAUGAUCGCCGCCGGUCUCUGGUGGACCAAUGACUGUUUGAGAAUCUUGUACAGAAGAGCUCUUAACCUGGAGCUACGGGACAAGAUGGCCACACGUGGAGGGGCUCGUUCCUUUGAAGAUUAUGUUUGACUCUCAGUCACCCUGGAUAACACAGUGAGAGAAUGGAGCCACCUUAGGGUCAGAUCCAACAUGCCCACCCACCAAGUCCCAAGUGCACAACCUCCUGCGGAACCAAUGCAGCUGGGACGUCUACCACUGAGAGAAGAUGUCGAUAUCAGCACCACCUUUUUCUCUAUUGUGGGGAUGCUCAACAUGUCCUCCAGAACUGUCCCGUCUGGCCGCCACUACAUAAGGACUCCGUACAGGUGGGAACCUCGGUUUUUUUGGACAUAACCCAAAAACAAGUAAUGGUUCCUUUUGUGUUACAGUGGGGUUUCGAAAGAGAGGCUGCGUACACCCUUCUGGGCUCUGGAGCUGCGGGUAACUUCAUCGACUAAUCCUUCGCUCGUAGGCUCCAUCUGCGAACCGAGCGGUUGGCCACCCCGAUAACCGUGCUAGGAGUGCACGGACAGCCUCUCCACGCCAAACAGGUUACACAUUGUACUCACCCAGUGAUGCUGCAGGCGGGAAUAUUCCAUUGUGAAACCAUUUCCUUGUUAAUCCUUCUGUACUCUUGUGACCCCCUCAUACUUGGGCACCCCUGGCUCUGCAUGCACAAUCCUGUGGUUGACUGGUGGACCGGGGAGCUGAUUACCUGAUCGGAGAGAUGCUUCUCUCACUGAUUAGCCCUGCCUUGUAAAGCUACCUCAGUAGAGAGCCCUGAGCCCAAAGAUCUGUGCUGCCUGAGUAUGGUGACCUGCUAGACAUCUUUAUAGGAAUUAUUCGACCUUUCAUCUCGCCCGUAGCCUCUAGUUUCUUGUUCAUCAAUAAGAAGGACGGGGGUCUUAAACCGUGUAUUGAUUAUCAAGCUUUAAAUGCCAUAACGGUAAAGCGCGGCAAACCUCUGCCGCUCAUCCAUUCUGCCGUUGAACAGCUUUGGUCCACCCCCAACUUCACAAAACUGGACCUCAGGAGUGCGUACAACCUUAUAUGAAUCCGGAAAGGGGAUGAAUGGAAGACAUCCUUCUUAACCAGCUCUGGUCAAUACGAGUACCAGGUCAUGCCUUAUGGUUUGGCAAACAGCCCGUCUAUCCUUCAGUCUUUUAUGUAUGAGGUUUUCAGGGAUAUACUGAAUCAUUUUGUCAUAGUUUAGAUAGAUGAUUAAAGGAGAGAAGUGUGAGUUUCACCAAACAUCUCUCAAGUUUCUAGGUUACCUCAUCCAACCAGGAGCAGUGGCGAUGGACGAGCAUAAGGUAACAGCGGUGCGCGACUGGCUCACUCCCUGAACCAUCAAGGAACUUCAGAGGUUUUUGGGAUUCACAAACUUCUACCGGAGAACCAUCCGUAAUUUCAGCCACCUGGUGGCUCCUAUGACCAGCCUCACUUGCGGGUAGUGUUCCCUUCUGAGAGCAUUCUGCUCUGCUCCAGCGCUUCAACAGCCGGAUCCGGAGCGCCCCUUCGAGUGACAAGGUCCCGUCUUUGAUGUACUGCCCAAGUCUGACAUUUGGGAUCAUUGUCUUGCUGAAAUGUCCACCCUCGUUUCAUCUUCAGCACCCUGGUAGAUGGCAGCGAAUUCCUAUAAAGUGAAAAUAUAUGACUGAAGCCUGGCUACACCUGAUAGCCAUUUCAGGGAGGUUUUCCAUGGAACUAACUACAGGUACAGGAACUAGCUAGCCAUGAACAGAAAUGAGAUCUUGAUAAUAUUGCAUAUCCCACUGACAGAAAUACAACAAUCAAUUAAAUAAGCAAUACAGUAUGUCAGAAUUCAGAAAUCCUUUGCACAGAGGCUGCGCCACGCCAGACUGAAAAAGGAAACCAGUUCUACACAAGGCAUUUGGGUUUUGAACUCAAAUCUAAAGUGUCUGUUAUCCAAAUCCAAAGUCCUCUUUCAUUUCACUCCUUCAGUUUUUUUUUCUUAAAGAAAACAGGCCAAUGAUAGCUGUUUAGCCACGAUUGCACUUAACAUUGAUCAAGCAGCUGCUGCACAAAAUCAGUGAUGUGUUCAAGACCAUCUGUUUCGAGAUUAAGAAAAGAUCACGACUCAUCCAGUCCAAGACCAAGUCAAGACCAAGACCCAUCCCAACCAUGAGCAAGUCUAGAUCAAGACUUUUAAUCAAGACCAAUACUUGAAAAUUCACAAUCAGAAUUUAGAUUUUUUUUUGGUACCCAUGCACCCAUAUUAUGGUUAUAUUUUCAUUUAUGUAAUUCCAAAAGACCCUGUUAUUGAAAAACUUUAAUGUUCACAUACUUUAAGCAAUAAUGCAUAUAUGUAAAAACACACACAAUACAACAAAGUGACAUACAUAAAGCCCUGCCCCAGCUCCCUAAUUGCGAUAGUAAAUCACAACACUAUCAAUCAACACUUAAACACUAGCACCAAUGUCCAAAACAGUCCAUUAUAUACAGGAUGAUUGUUUUCUGAAGAAUAGGCAGUGUUAAAUGACAGUCCAUAUCUAUUAAUUGAUAUGGUUACAGCAAGAUAUGUACAGCUAUUACAUGAAUGUGCUUUGCUAAAUUAAUUUUGGUCUAUAUCAUAAGAACAUUAGAGAGCUGUAAAAUAUUAUGGGAAUGAAGCAUGUAAUUUAAGGUUAUUUGUAACCAUAUAUAAAGAUAAAAAUGAAAGAGAAAUGCUUGAUAUUAACACACCAUUACAAACAAACAUCUAAUACACUUGUUUUGAUCUAAAUUUGGCUUUAAAAUGUUUCUAUGGACAACAUUACUGAAACUGUCCCCUUCAUAAGCUGCAAUUUUUUUAAUGACAUUAUGUGAAACGUUAGUUAGCCUAAUGUAGCCC